rnacentral:rRNA from 1 species
UAGGGAAUCUUCGGCAAUGGACGGAAGUCUGACCGAGCAACGCCGCGUGAGUGAAGAAGGUUUUCGGAUCGUAAAGCUCUGUUGUUAGAGAAGAACGUUGGUAGGAGUGGAAAAUCUACCAAGUGACGGUAACUAAUCAGAAAGGGACGGCUAACUACGUGCCACCAGCCGCGGUAAUACGUAGGUCCCGAGCGUUGUCCGGAUUUAUUGGGCGUAAGGCGAGCGCAGGCGGUUCUUUAAGUCUGAAGUUAAAGGCAGUGGCUUAAUCAAUGUACGCUUUAGAAACUGAAGGACUUGAGUGCAGAAGGGGUGAGUGGAAUUCCAUGUGUAGCGGUGAAAUGCGUAGAUAUAUGGAGGAACACCGGUGGCGAAAGCGGCUCUCUGGUCUGUAACUGACGCUGAGGCUCGAAAGCGUGGGGAGCAAACAGG